GUCAAGGAUAUUCUCGACUGACCAGUUGAUACGGCCAUAGAAAGUCUGAGGCUGAAGAAAAUAUUCGAGACUGACCACUGGAUUGGCUGCAACUUCGAAGCUUUCUUGGUAAAACUGCAUAUUAUCAAA